GUCGCGACCGCGGCGGACGCGCGGUGAAACGCGCCGCGCAGGUCGUCCAUGGGCGUGGGCGGCCCGCGGGAGGACCCGCGCGCGAAGAAACCCCCCGCGGAGUCGUCGUCGUCGCCGCCGCCGAGAUUGUCGUCGACGUCGAUCAACAAUUCGCCAUCCUCGUCGUCGCUGCCGUACUCGCCGAAGAUCCUCCUUCGCGCCGCCCCGAGCCAUCCCCCCGCGCCGCCGUGUUCGAAUCGUCUGCCGUCGCCGUCGCCGCCGUCGGUCGGUCGGUCCGUCCCCGCGACGAACCCG
rnacentral:lncRNA from 1 species